CCCUCUUUUCUCUUUGUCACACAACACUAGUACAAGUGCAUAAUGAUGUACAUCAAAGAGCUUGGGAGAUGAUAGUCUAGUUAAGUAGAGGUGAAUUUGUUAUGUUAUCCUGCAAUGCUAUUUAAUAUGAUAUCUACAAUAGUUGAUGGUAGCGCCAUAAAUGAUCUUACAAAUUAUUUGCAUUGUAUUGAGAAAUUCAUUUUUCAUAAUUCUAUUAUUAGUUCUUUUUCCCCCCUUGUUUUAUAGGGUUUUUCUUCACUUGAUGACUGGGAGGACACUGAGGGGAUUGUUGAAUACAUGCUUUCAUCAAGUGAAGGGGAAGAUAGUGAUGGAGAAGUCAUGCUAAAUCCACUAACCGAUUUUGAUUUGCCUACAGCUAGAGAGCAAUCUCUUGCAACUAAUGAUACUUUGACUGUGACUGCCCAUCGGCUUGCGAUGAUCAGGAGAGGACGUAGGAAAAGUAGUGGCUGAGGAGGAGGAUUGCCAUGGGAUUGGCCAACUCUUGUGAUGUUCCGACUAAAACUUUUGUAAUUAAAGAUAACAAAGUGGUGAAGAAAGGUAAAGAAGAAAGCUUUAAGAGUGUGGAUCAUACCCCUGCUAAGGUUCUGUCAGUUGGAGUGAUUGAAAACUGUGGAGGUUCACCAAUUGGAUGCAAUAACCAAAUAGAAAAUCCUCAAAAUGUUUGUGGCAAGAUAUUGACAGAUCCUAGUUUAGAAUAUGAUUGUAGUGUUGAAGAUUUGAACACUGAACAGAGAGCAGCAAAAAGAGUUCGGAAUGGAAGAAGCAAGCAAAUGUGGGAAGCCAUCUAAGGGUAACUUUCAUGCUACUGCUGCAUGAAUGUAUAUAUUGGGAAUGUAAAGUUUAGUAUGUAGCUUUUACCUUGUUAUCUUGCAGACAGUCUUGCUAUUUUUUUGGUGGGGAAGGUUAAGUUGAUUCUGUAACUUCUCUGUGUCUGUCUCUCUUUGUACUUGACACGAUUGUAAAGAAAUAAAGUUGUCUUGUAAUGUUUAUGAUUGAUGGGGAAA